rnacentral:rRNA from 1 species
UACGUAGGGUGCAAGCGUUGUCCGGAAUUAUUGGGCGUAAAGGGCGCGUAGGCGGUUUGACAAGUCUGAUGUGAAAUCUCUGGGCUCAACCCAGAGUCUGCAUUAGAAACUGUCGGGCUUGAGUAUGGGAGAGGUGAGUGGAAUUUCCGGUGUAGCGGUGAAAUGCGUAGAUAUCGGAAGGAACACCUGUGGCGAAAGCGGCUCACUGGACCAUAACUGACGCUGAGGCGCGAAAGCUAGGGGAGCAAACAGG